CGGCGUGCCUAAUACAUGCAAGUCGAACGCUAUUGUGGUUGAAAUGAUAUGAAGAACUUGUUCAGAUUUGAUUUCAACAUUGCAAUGAGUGGCGAACGGUGAGUAACACGUGGGAAACCUACCUCUUAGCAGGGGAUAACAUUUGGAAACAAAUGCUAAUACCGUAUAAUAAUUAAAACCGCAUGGUUUUAGUUUAAAAGAUGGUCUUGCUAUCACUAAGAGAUGGUCCCGCGGUGUAUUAGUUAGUUGGUGAGGUAAUGGCUCACCAAGACAAUGAUACAUAGCCGAGUUGAGAGACUGACCGGCCACAAUGGGACUGAGACACGGCCCAUACUCCUACGGGAGGCAGCAGUAGGGAGUCUUCCACAAUGGACGAAAGUCUGAUGGAGCAACGCCGCGUGUGUGAUGAAGGGUUUCGGCUCGUAAAACACUGUUGUAAGAGAAGAAUGACAUUGAGAGUAACUGUUCAAUGUGUGACGGUAUCUUACCCGAAAGGAACGGCUAAAUACGUG
rnacentral:rRNA from 1 species